GUCAGCUGGAGUUUACAAGCUUUAAACUAUUUGUAUAUAUGUAUAUGCAAAUACAACAAAUCCACAGCGGGGGAGCUUGGAAAAGAAUCUUAAAAUAAAAAGUUAAAUAAUAAUACAGACACGCGCAGACAGCGAGAGAAUUAAAUGGAAAUAAAAAUAAAAGUAAGCGGAAUGCAAGGACCAACUUUUAACUUUCAGCUAUAGCAGAAUUCCACUAAGCAGCUUUAAGUGUCUGUCAAUGUCAUAUUUUUGCGAAGCUUACAGCAAUUUUUUGGUUCUCGUAGUUUUGAUAAGCUUAAAACAAAUGCUCAAAGGCAAAUGACAACAUAUAAAAAAGAACUGAAAUUUUUGCCAGUAAACCGAGACGUGGAUGCUCUGUAAAUAAAUAAUAAGUUGGCAGCUCGUCCUUUCAGACAGUCUGUCUCGAUGUCUGGCUUGUGGCUUCAUAAUUAAGUAAUCCCCAUUGCGCAAAAGGCAAUGCAAUGCACCUUAAGCUCAGAUUGAAAGACUGAAAGACUGAGAGUGGGCCAACUGGUUUUUGCCUGGUGGCUGUUAUAACGGGGCAUCAAGCCCAGACAAGCAAAUGGGUGGAGUGGCUACCAAAAAAAAAGAAGGAAGAAUGAAGUGACUUUUAGCCAAGUGUCAAGUUGAAGCAGUAGCCAGCACUGCACUGCGGGGCAGCAGCCCAACAAGUCCCCCGAAAAACUCGUCUUAGUUAUAGCCAUGUGCGAAGGCAAUGAGCAUAUCUUAUUACCACUGCAGAGAUUACCAGCUAACAGAGUCCAGAAGAGUUGAAGCAGAAGGCAGCAGAGGAGCAGGCCAACUUUAACGGCCUUUUUGCUUUGACUUUGACACAUGUUAUGAAAUUUGAAUAGAUCACCGCGGCAAUUACGUGAGACAGAGAGAAAGAGAGAGAGA